ACGCUGGCGGCACGCCUAACACAUGCAAGUCGAACGAAGUAGCAAUACUUAGUGGCAGACGGGUGAGUAACAUGUAGGUAUCUGCCCUUUGGCCUGGAAUAACACGAGGAAACUUGUGCUAAUACCGGAUAAGUCUUUACGGAGAAAGCUUUAUGCACCAUUGGAUGAGCCUGCACUUGAUUAGUUUGUUGGUGGGGUAAUGGCCUACCAAGACUGUGAUCAAUAGCUGAUUUGAGAGGAUGAUCAGCCACAUUGGGACUGAGACACGGCCCAAACUCCUACGGGAGGCAGCAGUGGGGAAUCUUGCACAAUGGAGGAAACUCUGAUGCAGCGAUGCCGCGUGAGUGAAGAAGGCCCUUGGGUUGUAAAGCUCUUUCGUCGGGGAAGAAAAUGACUGUACCCGAAUAAGAAGGUCCGGCUAACUUCGUGCCAGCAGCCGCGGUAAUACGAAGGGACCUAGCGUAGUUCGGAAUUACUGGGCUUAAAGAGUUCGUAGGUGGUUGAAAAAGUUGGUGGUGAAAUCCCAGAGCUUAACUCUGGAACUGCCAUCAAAACUUUUCAGCUAGAGUAUGAUAGAGGAAAGCAGAAUUUCUAGUGUAGAGGUGAAAUUCGUAGAUAUUAGAAAGAAUACCAACUGCGAAGGCAGCUUUCUGGAUCAUUACUGACACUGAGGAACGAAAGCAUGGGUAGCGAAGAGGAUUAGAUACCCUCGUAGUCCAUGCCGUAAACGAUGUGUGUUAGACGUUGGAAAUUUAUUUUCAGUGUCGCAGCGAAAGCGAUAAACACACCGCCUGGGGAGUACGACCGCAAGGUUAAAACUCAAAUGAAUUGACGGGGACCCGCACAAGUAGUGGAGCAUGUGGUUUAAUUCGAAGAUACGCGCAGAACCUUACCAACACUUGACAUGUUCGUCGCGACUCUAAGAGAUUAGAGUUUUCGGUUCGGCCGGACGAAACACAGGUGCUGCAUGGCUGUCGUCAGCUCGUGUCGUGAGAUGUUGGGUUAAGUCCCGCAACGAGCGCAACCCUCACUUUUAGUUGCCAUCAUUAAGUUGGGCACUCUGAAAGAACUGCCAGUGAUAAGCUGGAGGAAGGUGGGGAUGACGUCAAGUCCUCAUGGCCCUUACGUGUUGGGCUACACACGUGCUACAAUGGUAUCUACAACAGGAAGCAAAACUGCGAAGUUAAGCAAAUCCCUAAAAGAUACCUCAGUUCGGAUUGCACUCUGCAACUCGAGUGCAUGAAGCUGGAAUUACUAGUAAUCGUGGAUCAGCGUGCCACGGUGAAUGCGUUCCCGGGUCUUGUACACACCGCCCGUCACACCAUGGGAGUUGGUUCUACCUUAAGGCAAGGUUUUAAACCCUUGACCACGGUAUAGUCAGCGACUGGGGUGAAGUCGUAACAAGGUAGCCGUAGGGGAACCUGCGGCUGGAUUACCUCCUUUCU
rnacentral:rRNA from 1 species